AGAGCUCCUGCCUCCUCUGUUCUUUUCAUCUCCUGCUGCGGGUGGCAGACAUGGGAGAGACAGGCAAGCUGCAAAGGGAAGGCAAAGUAAAAUUAAAGCCCUACAACUGUGUUCGUGUGUCAGCGUGGAUGGGGUACCCCUUAGUUUCUUCAUAGAAGGGGGUGUGACCACCCAGGACUGUCUGGAACAGAUCCUAUGGAAGUCACUCUGUUCACCUAGAAGCUGGAGGAGAAGCAGAAGGCAAGAAGAGGGUUAAAAUUCCGGAACAAGAGCCCUUGAUGAGGCUAGCAAUAAGAGGCAUGAUACUCUCAGUGGAUGCUGACAGCUAUGCACAACUCCAUUCCAGGUGAUCAGGAAGCUCUCCUUUUCUAGUUACUGACAAGAGAGACAUAUGUUUUCAUCAUGGCACAUUUUUACAGAAAUAUGUAUGCAUAUGAUUUUUCCAAAAAAGAAUAUAUAGAAGGAUAUAAAACAGAGCAAUAAAACAAGUAAAGGUCCCUCCUGUGAGCCAUGUGGAGAGUGGAUGGGGAGAGCAAGGAAGUAAAGACCCUGCCUGUGAACCAUCCGGAAUGCAGAUCGAGGGGAGCCAAAAUGGAAGCAAAGCCUCCACCUAUGCGCCAGCUGAAAAGAAGGUUGCAGCUCAGUAAAAAUGGAGCACAGUCGUAUAUGGAAGCUAAGGGAACGUCUUGGCAUCAAUCAGUUCCUACAGAAACUGCCCUGCGGAUUCAGAUUGACCCGCAGGCCAGGUCAAGUGGCACCCAGCAUGGGGCUCCUGGCAUGAAGGGCUCAACAAGGGAGCUGUCCUGAGAUGCGCGCAUAAGAAGGGAACCAAGAGUUUUGUGACCAAAGCUACCUGGGAGCCUGCCGUGCUGCUCGAGUCACGGUAAGUGGAUGGCGAUCCUUUCCCUUUUUUUCUGGCGUGGGUCAGGCAUUAAGUGAUCAUAAGUGCUUCUGUCAGGUUUAAGUAAAGCUUUAAGACAAGGGGGAUAAAGGCUAAAGAAAAAGAUUUAUUGUGGUACUUUCAGUUUAUUCAUACUUGGUCCCCUUUAGAGGGCUCUAUUGAUGCAAAAAGAUGUGAAAGAGUAGGAGGUGCAUUAAAGGAUUACUAUCGGGUCUUUGGCCCUGAAAAGGUCCCAGUUACGGCCUUUGCCUACUGGAACCUAAUCUCGGAGCUACUUACACAGCGCUGCGGAGACCCUCAAAUUGAUGAAACAAUCACCCAAGGUGAAGCCGCCUUACAUGCUUCUGCUUUGCCAACAUCGCUCCCUUCAGGAGAUGAAUCUAAACCUUCUUGCCCCUCUGAUGAGUCAAAUGAUAUGUUAAAAAAGCCCUAAGAUGGCGGCCCGUUGCCAUCCAAGCUCCUACCACCUGAGGCCCACCACAACUCUUUAUAUCCCAACCUCACUCCUUUACAAGAGGUCAAUUGGAAACAAUUUGCAGAAGAAGCUAGCCGACAUAACUUGGACCCUAUCGUAGCCCCUGUUUCCAUAAAACUCCCUCACUAUGACAAAACACCCAUAAUUGUCCAGCCCCUCUACCACACUUCUUGACUUAGAGUCAGAGAUUCAUGACUUACAACAACAGGUCCAAUUAGAACAAGAAAAGCAAAGACUCAUUCUGCAACUCCAAACUUUACAGACAGGCCAAGUAGACACCACCCCUAAGAUGGUGCCAGCUUCUCAAAUGGUACUUGCCUCACUUCCGCCACAUCUGGGGGGCCCCUCCCCAAAAUGGCAUUUCUGGUGACGGAGACAAACGUGCCUCCCCAAGAUGGUGCCAUACAGCUGCAAGGCAGUGCUGCGCCGCCAGCACUACAAGUCAUCAGGACCCAUAUGCCAUUCACAGUGGCAGCUUUAAAAGAAUUAAAGACAGCAGUCGCCCAAUAUGGCCCUACAGCUGCUUUCACUCUUGCUGUUUUAGAUUCUAUGACCCAAGAUUGGAUCAUUCCAAAUGAAUGGAGGGAUUUAACUAAAGCUACUCUCUCUGGGGGCAAUUAUUUACUCUGGAAGUCUAAAUUUAUGAAACAAUGUAAAAAUAUUGUUAGAGAUAAUGCCGCUAGACAAAACCCCUGGACCCUUCCCAUGUUAAUAGGAACUGGGGAUUUUAACUCCAAAGAGGCCCAAAUGAGAUAUGAUCCUGGCCUCUUCACACAAGUCACUGUGGUGGCUACUAGGGCUUGGAAGUGUCUCCCUUCCGAAGGUGAACUGACUUCCUCCCUUACCCAAAUUAAACAAAAGCUUGUAGACCCACAGGUUAGACCAAACUGCUCUUGGUCCUCCUAUGAAGAGGCUAUGCAUUCCUCUUGUUAUAUAACAGUUUCCAAAUAACAAAAUUUAUUUCACAGCCAUCCUUACCAAAACUACUCCGCCCCAAUAUGCCUCAGAUUGGAACACUAUCCCCAAGGACAUCAGUGUCUCCCCAUAUUCUUAGGCAGGAUGUAAAGGCAAUAUAGGGGCACCCACAUGUUGGUUCAGAGAGCCACCUGUCCAUGUUUCUGAUGGGGGAGGCCCCCAAGACAAGAUCAGACAAAAAUAGGUUCACCAACGACUAGAAGAGAUAAUAAAUAGCUUAUUCCCAAAGAUCAAUUACCACCCAUUGGCACUCCCCAAACCCUGGGGAGUGGACCUAGAUCCACAGACCUAUGAUAUUCUCUUAGCCCCUCAAAAGGCGCUUAAUGUUACCAACCCUAAUCUGGCUAAAGACUGCUGGCUAUGCAUGGCACUAGGCACCCCCAUGCCAAUAGCUAUCCCCUCCAAUUCAACACCUAUCUCCCUAGGAGACCCCUCUACCUGUAUGCCUGGUCAGUCAUUUCCUGUCCAGCCGGUGGGAAUGACCAAUUUAUCUGUCCCAUGUAUCCAGGGAUCCCUUAAAAAUGACUCAUCUGUCAUUGAUGUGGGCUCCCUCAUGUUCCCCAAUUGCUCUCAAACUGCCUAUUACACUGAUCCCUUAUGCCCCCCCUCAGGACAAGUGUUUGUCUGUGGGGCCAAUCUGGCUUACCCUUUUCUCCCAUCCAGCUGGUCAGGAAUAUGUAUGCUAGCUGCCAUUCUGCCCGAUAUUGAUAUGAUUCCUGGACAGGAGCCUGUACCCAUACCAGAGUUUACCUACAUCUCUGGCUGCCAAAAACGAGUGGUGGCUCUUGUUCUACUUCUGAUAGGAAUGGGUGUCACCAGGGUGCUGGCCACCGGUACAGCUGGAUUGGGUGUCUCCAUAGAUAAAUACACUGAGACCUCCAACCAGCUGUCAGAACAUGUCCAGGCCCUGUCUGCCACCAUACAGACAAGAUCAGCUAGACUCACUGGCAGAGGUAGUCAUCCAAAACAGGUGAGGGCUAGACCUCCUAACUGCAGAACAGGGGGGAAUUUGUCUUGGCUUACAGGAAAAAUGUUGCUUCUGUGUUAACCAAUUCGGCGUCGUUCGUGGAAAACUUCAAGAAAUUAAAGAGCGGCUCAAAUUGAGAAGACAACAGAUGGCCUCUAACCCUUUCUCCUCACUCUGGGGAGGGCUCUUCCCCUACCUAGCACCCCUCCCGGGGCCCCUAGCUGCCUUGUUGCUUCUCCUCUCUGUGCGUCCUUGUAUUUUUCAGAGGAUUAUGACGCUCAUUAAUAACUGGAUAGACGCAUUUAUGGCAAAGCCCGUUCAGGUACACUACCACCAGCUGGAGAUGGCAGAUCAACAAACCUACCAGGAAAGAAUUCCCACGAGUGGACCAUAUGACAACAUGGCCUAACUGCCCUGGGGCAAUGGACAGGCAGCCAGAGAUGGGCAACUAGGACAUGCAUGUUAACUCUAUUGGCCACUGAGACAGGCACAGGACCAACUGCUGUCCCGCAAGCCCAUGACAGCUCAAUAAUGAUAAUACAGGACCUGAAGAUUCCACUGACUGGCAAGUGUAUUCAUUCCUGAAAGGCAUAAACCAGGGCUAUAGCUUCAAGGAAAAAAAAAAUGAAAGGACCCAAAGAGGAUUUAUUUGCUCAAUACUUUCUCUGGAUGAACUGUCAGCAUGGAUUUACGUGUGUUCUAAGGCGGUGCUCUCAAAGUCUGUUGUGGGAAAUUCUGACCCUCUGGGUACAUACGAGGCUCUGCCUUUCCCUGGAGACUCAAUGAUUUUAUGUCUAGUGGUUCAUAAGUUACAAGAUAUCUGGAAUUAGGUGAUAUGAAAAAAAGUAUACUUGAGUUGCUACUGAUCCCAGAAUGACAGAGAGUUUGUGCAGCUCUGAACCCAACCUGCAGCCUGGACCCUGGUCAGCUGAUUAUAACUCAGCCCACAAAGCCACACUAACCAAUUCCUGGACUUACAAGUGAGAAAAAAAAUAAAUGCGUCUUAUUGUAUAUGAUUAAGGUUUGAGGUUGCUUGUUAUGCAGCAUUAUGAAAAAAUUUCUCUUGGUCUCAGAUUCCUAUUACAUAAUAUGGGGCAAUGUUUGUACUGUACUUAUUUGCAUGGUGUUAUCAAGAGUCACCGAGCAGUAUGUAAUAUGUUUAGGGGAUUGUCUGUCACACUGAAGAAACAGCCUCACCUCUUUUCAUAUACUAUUCUUCAGCCAACAAUUUCCUUCCCAAUGUAAUUAUGUCAAUAAAACAUGUUGGAAUUCUUUUAUUACCUUGGUGUAAAAGAGCAAAGCCUGCCAACAAAGGAGGAGCACAAGUACAUGCUAUGAAGUACAAGUUAAUUCAUUGCCAUUGUGUACUCCUUGCUGGGAUAGUGGACAGCACAAGCCUUGUGGUGUUUAGGAAGUAUCUUCAAUCCACAGAAUAUCUCGGUUUUUCUACCAAUACUUGCUACAUCCAGAGCAAGUUAGGAACACAGCAUUGGGACUAGAGCAGAUACUCUCAAUGCCCAACUGAUACCCCCUAAACCUUCCUCUGAGUUUCAAUACAUUAAUUUCUCAGUUUAGUCACUCAUAUAUCUUUGCUCCUCUGAUGCCAGGGAAGCCGCCUUAGUACGUCAGUGAGGAAGUGCUUCUGGGGCAGCUGUGAAGCCUUAGGAGAUGGGAAUGGGUGGGUUAGUACCUGAACCCUCCUCACACUCCCAUUAGAUAGGGGAAUAUUCUUACCGAUUUCCAGUAAGCUGAAGUUCAAAGUUCCUACAAUCAUACCUUUUUCAUCAACAUUCUUGUAUAAGGAAACAAAAUGUUUUUCUACUAUACUCACACAAUUCUUAUUCAUAUAAUUCCUUGAUACCAUCAGGGUAUCCUACAAUUUAAUUCAAUUCUGUUACUAUCUAUAUUGAGAGAGCAAUAUAUGACCUCUUUAUUUUAGGGUUUUUUUUUUUUGCAGAGAUUUAAUUACCUAGGUAUCAUCAAUUAUAUGUUUUACUUCCAGCUUGUUUUCUCUUUUAUUGAGAAAUGAGCUGAAAUUUUUGAUUUUUUUUAUUUUAAAGAGGAUAAAAUGGAAUAAAACCAAUCAAAACAAACCAGUGUAAGAGAUACAGGACUUCAAAACAUUAUAAAAUCAACAAUAGUUACCAUAAUGCAUUUGAUGUUUUCAUACAGAUAACUUCGAACGUAGUAAAAAUCAAAUAGAACACAAUAGAAUAAAAACAAAACAAUGAAUGCAAUAAAGGACUUCAAAACAAACCAAUAAUAAAUCCAAAAUUGCUACUAUAUCUUGCUAUCUUUUAAAUAGCUGCUCCUGCCAUUGGACUUAACAUAAUCAAACAAAACAUAAUAAAACUCAACCCAAAAAAACAAUGGAAAUGAUAAUGGAAAAGACUUUAAAACAAGACCAUAGGGAAUCAACAAUGGCUAAAAUCCUCAGAAAGAGAUCAUCCCUAGAUGCCACAAUGUGUACCACUGUCUUCUGAUCUUAUGACCACUGACCCUAGACCAAUGCAAUGUUAGUGAAACACAAAAACAUCACAGGCAUCCAAUUGCAUUUCAACUUGAUAGCUAUCAUCACAGCCUGUGGUUCUCCUGAUAAGCCAGCUCAAGGUGUGUGUGGGUGCUGAUGGGGCACUGAUACUUCUUGUUUCCAGUCUGCACGCUGGAAGGGGCUAGGUCCUGGCUGAUCCAGUCUGGUGGCAGCUCCUGCAUAGCACAGGUUCCUAGCCUGGGCUUACUUCUUCAAGUUCCACAUUUCUAAUUUUGUCUUAUGUCUCUGGUGACCAGCUUCUAUUCAGGAUACCACUAAAGGUCUUCUCAUUAGAACAAAAGAUGGUCUCAUCACACAGGAAAUUGCAAAGGAUUUAGGAACUCUCUUAGGAAUCAAAGUAAAGACAAAUAGGGUCAAUGAAACGUAAUGUCAGAGACACAUUGUGAGAAAUGCAUCAUAAGGCAAUUUCAUCAUACAACAUCAUAAAGCACACUUACUCAAACUUGGGUGUGAUACAUCAGUCACUGGAUUGUAGCUGCUUGAUACACUUGAUGUAUGAAGCUGUCUGCUGCCUCUGUAUUCUGUUUUAUAGUAAACAUUCUAAAAUAAGAAGUGCACUCCAAAGUAAUGAUAAAUGUAUAGGAUAGUGAGUACAUAUGUCAGCAAAAUAGUUGUUUAUUGUUAGUAUCAGUUAUGUGCUGUUCAAAACUAUGUGCUGUACUUUUGCAUCAGUGGUAUGCAGCAGGUUUGUUUACAGUAUCACCAUCAUGACAGGAAUAAGUUUCUUGUGGGAUCAGUGUUCUCUGUGUGGUCUGUAACUGACCUUCUUGUGUACUUGAUGGGGAAAAAAAAAGAUUCUCCUAGAAACCCUAUUUGGAAGUGUUUCAGAAGCCUUGUAUCAGGAACUAUAGGUAGAGACCAAUGUGUGUGUGUGUGUAUGUGUGUGAUAUACUUUUCUGUAUUUGAGCAUUUUCUGUUUUUUUUUUGUCUCACUUUCUUGACUUCCUCACUUGUAUUUCCUUAGAUGCCAACUCAAAUAAACUUCUUGAAUUCAAAUCCA